ACAGGACUACUUGUUGUGUUUCUUUGCUGAGGUCUAACAGAGGCUGAUCCACUGGCGUGAUUAGCCGUUUCGUCUGAAUACCAUGACCUGCUUCUCUGCCACCAUCACUGUGUAACUGGCUCCACCAGUCUCACUAGCAGUCACCAAUUAGCAACUGGCUGGUCUGACAAACCAUGAUAAAGUCUGUCAACAACCAACA